AGAGUUUGAUCCUGGCUCAGAAUGAACGUUGGCGGCGUGGAUUAGGCAUGCAAGUCGAGCGAGAAGUUUACUUCGGUAAAUGGACAGCGGCGAAAGGGACAGUAAUGUGUAGGUACCUACCCUCUGAUCUGGGAUAGCUGCGGGAAACUGCAGGUAAUACCGGAUAAUGUCUUCGGACCAAAGGUGUGAUUCCGUCUGAGGAGGGGCCUGCAUCCUAUUAGCUUGUUGGUGAGGUAAUGGCUCACCAAGGCAACGAUGGGUAGCGGGUGUGAGAGCAUGACCCGCGUCAUUGGGACUGAGACACUGCCCAGACAUCUACGGAUGGCUGCAGUCGAGAAUCUUCGGCAAUGGGCGAAAGCCUGACCGAGCGACGCCGCGUGCGGGAUGAAGGCCCUCGGGUUGUAAACCGCUGUCGUUGGGGAGGAAAUGCAAGAGGGCUAUCCCUUUUGUUUGACCGAUCCAAGGAGGAAGUACGGGCUAAGUUCGUGCCAGCAGCCGCGGUAAGACGAACCGUACGAACGUUAUUCGGAAUUACUGGGCUUAAAGGGUGCGUAGGCUGCACGGAAAGUUGGGUGUGAAAGCCCUCAGCUCAACUGAGGAAUUGCAUCCAAAACUGCCGUGCUUGAGGGAGACAGAGGUGAGCGGAACUCAAGGUGGGAGCGGUGAAAUGCGUUGAUAUCUUGAGGAACACCGGUGGCGAAGGCGGCUCACUG
rnacentral:rRNA from 1 species